rnacentral:rRNA from 1 species
GACGAACGCUGGCGGCGUGCCUAAUACAUGCAAGUAGAACGCUGAAGGAGGAGCUUGCUUCUCUGGAUGAGUUGCGAACGGGCGAGUAACGCGUAGGUAACCUGCCUGGUAGCGGGGGAUAACUAUUGGAAACGAUAGCUAAUACCGCAUAAGAGUAGAUGUUGCAUGACAUUUGCUUAAAAGGUGCAAUUGCAUCACUACCAGAUGGACCUGCGUUGUAUUAGCUAGUUGGUGGGGUAACGGCUCACCAAGGCGACGAUACAUAGCCGACCUGAGAGGGGGAUCGGCCACACUGGGACUGAGACACGGCCCAGACUCCUACGGGAGGCAGCAGUAGGGAAUCUUCGGCAAUGGACGGAAGUCUGACCGAGCAACGCCGCGUGAGUGAAGAAGGUUUUCGGAUCGCAAAGCUCUGUUGUAAGAGAAGAACGAGUGUGAGAGUGGAAAGUUCACACUGUGACGGUAUCUUACCAGAAAGGGACGGCUAACUACGUG